CCACCCUUUAGUGCCGGUUAUGGAACCGGCACUAAAGACCCUUACAAACCGGCGCUAAAGCUCCGUUUUCUACUAGUGGGCAACGCUUGUCAUGAUUUUUUAUUUCUGAAGCCACAUUAGCAAGCAUCAUAAAUAUAACUAAAUGUUUGCUGGCUUCCGUAAUUGCCUACAUCAAUGUAAUCUUCCACAUUGAAAACACUCAUUUGAGAUUUGCAAGAAGCCUGCAUACUACUUACUGUUGAUGCAUUAACAUUGCAUCCUUCAGAAUUAGCAAGCAGGGCAUAAUGUUAGGUGUCUGUUUGCGGAAUUGCUGAAAAUAAUUGGUCUAUUUAAUCCAUGAGAAAUAGGAAGAUUCUUGUAAACUGUAGUGUGCUACUUGCUAUACUGGCUAAGCUACAUGACUUACUCUUUAGCGACAUUUCAUAUCGGCAGUGUGCUACUUGCUAUACUGGCUAAGCUUAAUUUUCUUCUUCCUGUGAACAUGUAGAUAAGUGAAAUGAUAAUAAGAAGGUUAAAUAAUGUUGUUCAAUCUUUCCGUCAAGCAACCUGUUUGGCCCCAAAUGUCCGCACCGACGCGGUGACGCCCGUGGGCGCCACCGUUCCUUCCUGAAGGGCAUCGGGUAUUCCCCUUCCCCAUGCCCGUCCGCGUACCGGGGGAAACCCUAGGACUUGUUCGGGCAGUAGCGUCAUUGUUGUCGUGUUCCUUUUUGAAGGUGUUGCUUGGCAUGCGGAGGUUCAAGGUGCUAGGAGCGAGGUGGUAAAUCUCCGGUGAGCGCAGCGGUUGCGGGUCAUCAUCAUUUUCGUCGAUCCGACGUUGUUGACAUUAUUUUCUCUCUUCUUUCUCUUUUUCUUCUUUUGGGCGUGCUUGUGCUGUUUGCCCCAGCAUUGGACUCUUGAUUGUAUUGGGUUGUUGCUAUAUCUAUAUAGCGGGGCGAAAGCCUAUUUCGUAAGAUUCUUCCAUGAAUUCAAGACUUGGCAAACCACUCCCAUUACAAGGUUCCAUAACACAUGCUGGAUUUGUAUGCCAAGAUAUCUGAAGGGCAAAAACUUAGUACAUUUAUUCUGUUUUUUUAAUAAAUCUCCCUCUUGGAAUGAGCUACAACUACUAACGAGUUAUUCUUCUCAUAUAUGUAAGAACACAUUUCUAUAUAUGGCUGCUAUUAAGGCGACUUGAUUGAGUACCGGCGAAUUACCUUCAAAAUGAUUAAAGGAAUGCUAAGAUGGGCCUCCUUGAGUUUUGACCACGCCUAAUAAUACUUAUGAAUUACGGCUACUCUCCAUGCAGUUUGGUACGGUUAUUUCACCAACUAGCCCACUACUAUGUGCUGGAAGUUAUAUUGUUACUUAAUAGAGGCUACCCAUUCUAAACUUCUUCUCUUUGACUGUGUUGUCAGAU
rnacentral:lncRNA from 1 species